GGGUGUGUGGGGAGCGCUUGGGUCCCACGCUGACCCAUCCCGAACCAGGCCGUGAAACCAAGCAGCGCCGAAGGUACUGGCGGGGCACCCGCUGGGAGAGUAGGUCGAUGCACUCA
rnacentral:rRNA from 1 species